AACGAACGCUGGCGGCAUGCCUAACACAUGCAAGUCGAACGAGACCUUCGGGUCUAGUGGCGCACGGGUGCGUAACGCGUGGGAACCUGCCCUUAGGUUCGGAAUAACUCCCCGAAAGGGGUGCUAAUACCGGAUAAUGUCUUCGGACCAAAGAUUUAUCGCCUUUGGAUGGGCCCGCGUUGGCUUAGCUAGUUGGUAGGGUAAAAGCCUACCAAGGCGACGAUCCAUAGCUGGUCUGAGAGGCUGGUCAGCCACGCUGGGACGGAGCCACGGCCCAGACUCCUACGGGAGGCAGCAGUGGGGAAUAUUGGACAAUGGGCGAAAGCCUGAUCCAGCAAUGCCGCGUGAGUGAUGAAGGCCUUAGGGUUGUAAAGCUCUUUUACCCGGGAUGAUAAUGACAGUACCGGGAGAAUAAGCUCCGGCUAACUCCGUG
rnacentral:rRNA from 1 species